rnacentral:rRNA from 1 species
AUUGAACGCUGGCGGCAGGCUUAACACAUGCAAGUCGAGCGAGCGGCAGACGGGUGAGUAAUGUCUGGGAAACGGCCUGAUGGAGGGGGAUAACUACUGGAAACGGUAGCUAAUACCGCAUACCAUCAGAUGUGCCCAGAUGGGAUUAGCUAGUAGGUGGGGUAAUGGCUCACGUAGGCGACGAUCCCUAGCUGGUCUGAGAGGAUGACCAGCCACACUGUAACUGUGACACGGUCCAGACGCACACGGUAGGCAGCAGUGGGGAAUAUUGCACAAUUGGCGCAAGCCUGAUGCAGCCAUGCCGCGUGUGUGAAGAAGGCCUUCGGGUUGUAAAGCACUGUCAGUGAGGAGGCGUUACUCGCAGAAGAAGCACCGGCUAACUCCGUGCCAGCAGCCGCGGUAAUUC